GGGUCAGUAGGUUGGUCGUGCCACCGGUACGUACUGGUCUCUCUGAUUCCUCCUUCCUGAAGAACCGUAAUGCCAUUAAUUUGGUGUUGCGGGGAAACAGGACUGUUACUUUGAAAAAAUUAGUGUGUUUAAAGCAAGCUAACGCUUGAAUACAUUAGCAUGGAAUAAUGAAAUAGGACGAUCGAUCCUAUUUUGUUGGUUUCUAGGAUUGACGUA
rnacentral:rRNA from 1 species